rnacentral:rRNA from 1 species
AUGUCCCUGGCCGCCUUCGAGCACUUCUCUGCCAUCCUCGGCUCUGCGCCUACGCGCGCCCACUCCUUGCGGCUUGAUCUCAUCGACCCUAGGCACUUUGAUCUGUCGGAGCUCGAGGUUCCUUUCACGGAGCAGGAAAUCUGGGCUGCGAUCAAGCACCUUCCAUCUGGCAAGGUGCCCGACCCGAUGGCUUUACCUCCGAGUUUCUCCGCGCCUGCUGGCCUAUCAUCAAGGCUGACAUUUGUACUGCGUUCGACAAGCUCUUCAACAUGA